UACGUAGGGUGCGAGCGUUACUCAGAAUUACUGGGCGUAAAGCGUGCGCAGGCGGUUCGUUGUGUCUGAUGUGAAAGCCCCGGGCUCAACCUGGGAAUGGCAUUGGAAACUGGCGAGCUAGAGUGUGGCAGAGGGGGGUGGAAUUCCGCGUGUAGCAGUGAAAUGCGUAGAGAUGCGGAGGAACACCGAUGGCGAAGGCAGCCCCCUGGGCUGACACUGACGCUCAGGCACGAAAGCGUGGGGAGCAAACAGG
rnacentral:rRNA from 1 species